CCUACGGGCGGCAGCAGUGAGGAAUAUUGGUCAAUGGACGAGAGUCUGAACCAGCCAAGUAGCGUGAAGGAUGACUGCCCUAUGGGUUGUAAACUUCUUUUAUAAAGGAAUAAAACGAGGCACGUGUGCCUUUUUGCAUGUACUUUAUGAAUAAGGAUCGGCUAACUCCGUGCCAGCAGCCGCGGUAAUACGGAGGAUCCGAGCGUUAUCCGGAUUUAUUGGGUUUAAAGGGAGCGUAGAUGGGUUGUUAAGUCAGUUGUGAAAGUUUGCGGCUCAACCGUAAAAUUGCAAUUGAUACUGGCAGUCUUGAGUACAGUUGAGGUAGGCGGAAUUCGUGGUGUAGCGGUGAAAGGCUUAGAUAUCACGAAGAACCCCGAUUGCGAAGGCAGCUUACUAAACUGUGACUGACAUUGAUGCUCGAAAGUGUGGGUAUCAAACAGGAUUAGAUACCCUGGUAGUC
rnacentral:rRNA from 1 species